CCUACGGGUGGCAGCAGUGGGGAAUAUUGGGCAAUGGGCGCAAGCCUGACCCAGCAACGCAGCGUGAAGGAAGAAGGCUUUCGGGUUGUAAACUUCUUUUCUCAGGGACGAAGCGAGUGACGGUACCUGAGGUAUAAGUCACGGCUAACUACGUGCCAGCAGCCGCGGUAAUACGUAGGUGGCAGGCGUUAUCCGGAUUUACGGGGUGUAAAGGGCGCGUAGGCGGGAAUGCAAGUCAGAUGUGAAAACCAUGGGCUCAACCUAUGUCUUGCAUCUGACACUGUAGUUCUUGAGUACUGGAGAGGCAGACGGAAUUCCUAGUGUAGCGGUGAAAUGCGUAGAUAUUAGGAGGAACACCAGUGGCGAAGGCAGUCUGCUGGACAGCAACUGACGCUGAGGCGCGAAAGCGUGGGGAGCAAACAGGAUUAGAUACCCUUGUAGUC
rnacentral:rRNA from 1 species